UACGGAGGGUGCGAGCGUUAAUCGGAAUUACUGGGCGUAAAGCGUGCGCAGGCGGUUUGGUAAGACAGAUGUGAAAUCCCCGGGCUCAACCUGGGAAUUGCAUUUGUGACUGCCCGGCUAGAAUCUGGCAGAGGGGGGUAGAAUUCCACGUGUAGCAGUGAAAUGCGUAGAGAUGUGGAGGAAUACCGAUGGCGAAGGCAGCCCCCUGGGCCAAGAUUGACGCUCAUGCACGAAAGUGUGGGGAGCAAACAGG
rnacentral:rRNA from 1 species